rnacentral:rRNA from 1 species
AGGACGAACGCUGGCGGCGUGCUUAACACAUGCAAGUCGAGCGGAAAGGCCCUUCGGGGUACUCGAGCGGCGAACGGGUGAGUAACACGUGAGUAAUCUGCCCCUAGCUCUGGGAUAGCUCCGGGAAACCGGGAUUAAUACCGGAUACGACCACCUUAGACAUCUUUGUGGUGGAAAGAAUUUCGGCUAGGGAUGAGCUCGCGGCCUAUCAGCUUGUUGGUGGGGUAACGGCCUACCGAAGGCGACGACGGGUA